ensembl:rRNA 5S_rRNA 5S ribosomal RNA
GUCUACGGCCACACCACCCUGAACGCGCCCGAUCUCGUCUGAUCUCGGAAGCUAAGCAGGGUCGGGCCUAGUUAGUACUUGGAUGGGAGAAAGACUUGCAGGGCAUAGUAC